rnacentral:rRNA from 1 species
GAUGAACGCUAGCGGCAGGCCUAAUACAUGCAAGCCGAGCGGUAUUGUUUCUUCGGAAAUGAGAGAGCGGCGUACGGGUGCGGAACACGUGUGCAACCUGCCUUUAUCUAGAGGAUAGCCUUUCGAAAGGAAGAUUAAUACUCUAUAAUAUAUUAAUUGGCAUCAAUUGAUAUUGAAAACUCCGGUGGAUAGAGAUGGGCACGCGCAAGAUUAGCUAGUUGGUGAGGUAACGGCUCACCAAGGCAAUGAUCUUUAGGGGGCCUGAGAGGGUGAUCCCCCCGACUGGUACUGAGACACGGACCAGACUCCUACGGGAGGCAGCAGUGAGGAAUAUUGGUCGAUGGGUGCAAGCCUGAACCAGCCAUCCCGCGUGAAGGAUUAAGGUCCUAUGGAUUGUAAACUUCUCUUGUAUAGGGAUAAACCUACCCUCGUGAGGGUAGCUGAAGGUACUAUACGAAUAAGCACCGGCUAACUCCGUGCCAGCCGCCGCUGUAACAC